rnacentral:tRNA from 1 species
GAACCCGUGGCUCAAAUGGCUAGAGCGUUAGACUUAUAAUCAACAGGUAGCGGGUUCA